rnacentral:lncRNA from 13 species
CAGAGAGGCAAAGAUGGAAGCAGGAGAUCAGCUUGCAGGCUGCUGGAGUAAUCAGGAAAUAACUGCAUCCUCUGGAGCUGAAAAUGAAAAACUGAGUAGCUGGUGGAAGAAGGGAGAUGGGCUUGGAACUUACAAACUAUGUUUCUGGAUGCAUCACAACAUUUGCAAGAGAGACGUUUUGGUGUCCCUGUGGGUUAAAAAAAAAACACAACCUUUGCUGAUAUAA